AGGGCUCUUUUCCUUUCAAGAGCUCAUAGGGAGAAGAGGCAGAAUGCUCUUCCUUUGGACACUGUCGUGUUUGCCGGUGAUUCCUGGGAUUACGGCAGCUAUUGCCAAGAAGGGCGUCAACCCCAGAGCAGAAUAGAAAAGUGGAGGAUGGCAGAGACAGGUGGUGAGAAGGACCUUCCUUUAUAUGACGUCUUUGCCUGUUGGAGCCACUUUCAUUUUAGGACUGGGUGGUCACAAAGAUCCCCUGGAGGAGGGCCUGGCAACGCACUCCAGUAUUCUUGCCUGGAGAAUCCCACGGACAGAGGAGCCUGGCGGGCUGCAGUCCAUGGGGUUGCAAAGUCAGACACGACGGAAGUGAGGUACUUUUUCUCACGAUCUUUCAUCAUAAGAGCAGAUGUCCGCCAUGCAGACAGAGAAUCAAGAAGACAAGCCUAAACAGGGCCCAUAAGUUCUUCUACCAGAAUCAGAAGGUGGAGGACCAGGCUGACGUGUCCUCCCCACUCUCCCGUUGAGGGGCUUCAGUCUCUCUAGGCCCAUCUGUGACUUAAGUCAGAUUUCCAUGGACUAUAUUCUAUUUUUAAGUCCUGUGUUUUCUGAUUGAGAAGCUGCUUUGAAUGAGAUCUCUACCUGUAUAGUUAUGUUACUCUGUGAAUGAAAAAUUUUAUUUACACGUCCAUCUAAGUGCAUAUCUCUUUGUUGCUGUUGCUGUUCAGUCGCUAAGUCAUGUCUGACUCCUUGUGACCCCCAUGGACACCAGGCUCCUCUGUCUAUGGGAUUUCCCAGGCAAGAAGAUUGAAGUGGGUUGCCAUUUCCAGAUCUUCUGACCCAGGGAAUGAACCGAGUGUCCUGCUUAGCAGGCACCUGGGAAGUCUAAUAUCUCUGUAUCUAUUUAUAAAUGCAAAUAUACAUAUACAAAUAUAUACAUAAUAUUAGUCAGAGAUGUAAAACCUCUUUGUUCCACCAGUGUAGCUGCCAGAUGUACCAUUAAAUCUACAUGGAUGGGCACACAGGCUUCAACUGAGCCCAGCACAGAAUCCCUGACCUGGGUGUUUCCAUCACAGGUCAGAGGCCAACAGAAGCAGUAUCAGCCUCCAGAUCACCUAAAU
ensembl:lncRNA